UACGAAGGGGGCUAGCGUUGCUCGGAAUUACUGGGCGUAAAGCGCACGUAGGCGGUUUCUUAAGUCGGGGGUGAAAUCCUGGAGCUCAACUCCAGAACUGCCUUCGAUACUGAGAGACUUGAGUUCGGGAGAGGUGAGUGGAACUGCGAGUGUAGAGGUGAAAUUCGUAGAUAUUCGCAAGAACACCAGUGGCGAAGGCGGCUCACUGGCCCGAUACUGACGCUGAGGCGCGAAAGCUAGGGGAGCAAACGGG
rnacentral:rRNA from 1 species